GUAGGUGAACCUGCGGAAGGAUCAUUAACGAAUCUGAAACAAAGCGCCCCCGCUGGGCUGAUGCUGGCUCCUCGGAGCAUGUGCACGCCCCUCGGGCGCGACUUCAAUUCGCUUACCCUCCCCUUGUGCACUCCAUGUAGGUUCGUCGAUGGUGGUCGGAACACGAGUCUGGGUGCCCGCUUUGACGCCUACAACUUUUUUGUAUGCACCCCGAUCGCAUGUAUAUUGUGCAAGCCUUGAUAAAUAAAUUAAAAUACAACUUUCAACAACGGAUCUCUUGGGUCUCGCAUCGAUGAAGAACGCACCGAAAUGCGAUAAGUAAUGUGAAUUGCAGAAUUCAGUGAAUCAUCNAAUCUUUGAACGCACCUUGCGCUCUUUGGCCAUUCCAAAGAGCAUGCCUGUUUGAGUGUGAUUGAAUCCUCAAGGCCCCCCCAAUCUUUUGCCAUUGGCGGGGAGCCUUGGACUUUGGGAGUGCUGCGGGGCCCAAGCAACGGGCACGGGCCCCGCUCUCCUCAAAUGCAUCAGUAGGGCCUCACACGAACACCCCGUGGCGUUGAUAGUCGUCUACGCCUCGUCCGUUCGGGUUUUGGACCUUGCUCCUCAACGAACCCCAGGGAUUCUUCCUGGACGCUUUUGACCUCAAAUCA
rnacentral:rRNA from 1 species